rnacentral:tRNA from 1 species
GGGCAAUUAGCUCAGUUGGUUAGAGCACAUCGUUCACAUCGAUGGGGUCAGAGGUUCGAGUCCUCUAUUGCCCA